UACGGAGGGGGCUAGCGUUGUUCGGAAUCACUGGGUGUAAAGGGUGCGCAGGCGGGAGAGUAAGUCAGAGGUGAAAUCUCACAGCUUAACUGUGAAACUGCCUUUGAUACUGCUUUUCUUGAGUUCGGGAGAGGUUGAUGGAAUUCCAGGUGUAGCGGUGAAAUGCGUAGAUAUCUGGAAGAACACCAGUGGCGAAGGCGGUCAACUGGCCCGUAACUGACGCUCAGGCACGAAAGCGUGGGUAGCGAACAGG
rnacentral:rRNA from 1 species